GUCUCCAGAGCUCCCAGCUGAGCGUCCGAAUGGCGGCGGUUGCGGCGGAGGCGCGCGUGUUCCUGGAGGUGCGGAGACGGCUGCAGAGCGCGCUGCUGAUCCUGGGGGAUUCCGCGGAAGGAGGUCUGCCCAUGGAUGUUUCGGUAACGCCGUCCUCGCUCCGGAUGCAGGGCCCCGGCGGCUGCACGGAGCUCCGGCUGCCGGCAGGGGUCAGGCUCGCGCCGUCCUCCUGCCGCGGGCUGCGACACGUGCCCGGGGACGGGCUGCACCUGCGGCUGCAGGCGCGGGCCGAGUGCCGCCCGGAACUGAUUUCAGUGUUUAAUCAAAGCUUACAAGCCCAAGAAUGUUGCACGUUUUAUUGCCAGUCCUGUGGUGAAGUCAUCAUAAGGGACAGGAAACUCCUGAGAGUGCUCCCCCUGCCAGGCGAUAACUGGGGCGCUCUGGUUGACGAGUGGUGUUGUCAUCCUGACCCCUUUGCUAAUAAGCCACUUCAUCCACGAGAGAAUGACUGUUUCACCGGAGACUGUUUCUACCUGGUGAAUUUAAAGAGUGAUUUGUGGCAGCCAAGACCUAAAGAAGCCCCAGUGGAGACACACCAUCUUUCUUCUGAGAACCAUCUAAAAUUGAAACCAAAGGCAAAUACCAAAGUAAUUUGUAAGCGUUGCAAGGUAAUGUUGGGAGAGACUGUGUCAUCAGAAACCACUAAGUUUUAUAUGACGGAGAUAAUUAUUCUGCCAUCUGAAAGAAAUUUUCCCAUCAUACCAAGGUCUCAGUUUGUACAGAGCAUUAUCGCCCAGUGUAUGGUGGAACUGUCCUCUGCUAGAAGCACUUUUAGAUUCACUAUUCAAGGUCAUGAUGGCAAAGUAUACAUUCUGCUAUGGCUUUUAAACUCAGACAGUUUGGUGAUUGAAUCUUUGGGACAGUCCACAAGUAUCAAAAAAUUCCCUGUGUUGGAAGAUGUAUUGAAGGCCGAUUCCAAUUCCGCCUGGAAUGCAGUCAAGGUCCUCUACCAGCCAUGCAUCAAAAGCCGGAAUGCAGAUCUCUCUAGCUUGUGGGAAAAUGACAUCAGCGUACACUCCCUCACCCUGCCCUCUACAACCUGCCUGGAGCUGCUGUUGAUACUGUCGAGGAGUAAUGCUGCACUGCCUCCAUCCCUCCGCUGUAUGAAUUCUUUCCAGAUAUAUGCAGUCUCCAAGGGCUCCAAGAAAUGGGCAGGCAGAAGCCUGAGAACUUUACAAAUGAGCUGCAACAAAGGGGCUACCGAGAAGAGAAAGAGAAGUUUCUGACUCUAUACCACUUUCUUCUUGUCUGCCUUAGACACUGCACAACAUAAAUGGCCUUCUCUGUCAUAUGCCAUGUUCACAUCUAGGUGGCCUUUUUGAAGAUGUAACCAGGGGAGUUGACACAUCCCUCUCCACAGCACGGGGUGUACCGGCAGCCAGCAGUUACAGAGGGCAGUGGGCAGCAGUUACAGAGACAAGAACCCGGCUACAGCAAGAGAACGGGGCGUUGCAGUUUUGAGUUUACUUGCUCGCAUCUGUUCUCUAAGAGAAGAGUUAACUUUAAAUCCUUGAAACACCAAGGCUGUGAAGAAAGUCAUAGUAGCAGGUUGAGAGAUAAGUAUAGAAUUUUCAUCUCUGUUUCCCACCGAGAGGAACAUUCAGAUAUGUGCUGUGUCAGCACCACCUGGAGAGAGAGAGCUGGCGGAGACCCAUCCAUCCUGUGUGGAGGCAGCGAGGGGCUUUGGUGGUGGAAUUGAAAGUUAGCUGCUGUAAAUCUUCAGACAUAACUUGCAGAGAACUUCUCAGAUUUGCUUAAAAAAAUUUUUUUAAGAAAAUAUGGAACUCUGUAUGCCUUAUUCAGACGGGAUGCUCAGUAAAUAAAUGUCUGUUGAAUGCCUGAUUGUCAAAUUAAAGGGUUUCCCAUUUAUGCAAAACU